rnacentral:rRNA from 1 species
UACGAAGGGGGCUAGCGUUGCCUCGGAAUCACUGGGCGUAAAGCGCACGUAGGCGGAUUGUUAAGUCAGGGGUGAAAUCCUGGAGCUCAACUCCAGAACUGCCUUUGAUACUGGCGAUCUUGAGUCCGGGAGAGGUGGAGUGGAACUCCGAGUGUAGAGGUGAAAUUCGUAGAUAUUCGGAAGAACACCAGUGGCGAAGGCG